GACGGAGGAUGCAAGUGUUAUCCGGAAUCACUGGGCGUAAAGCGUCUGUAGGUGGUUUAAUAAGUCAACUGUUAAAUCUUGAGGCUCAACCUCAAAAUCGCAGUCGAAACUAUUAGGCUAGAGUAUAGUAGGGGUAAAGGGAAUUUCCAGUGGAGCGGUGAAAUGCGUAGAGAUUGGAAAGAACACCGAUGGCGAAGACACUUUACUGGGCUAUUACUAACACUCAGAGACGAAAGCUAGGGUAGCAAAUGGG
rnacentral:rRNA from 1 species